rnacentral:lncRNA from 1 species
AUGGAAAUAACUAGGAAGCUGGAGGUUGGAGUUGAAAAUUUUGCUGGUUGCCCUUUGCCAAGUUAGUGGGCUUGUUAGUGGGCUCUCAAGGAGAGCAGGACUGACUUGUGGACUCAGACGCAUGGGCUGAAGGCUUCAUCUAGUUGUCUUAGUAUAUAAGUGAGAGUGUGUAUUAGGGUAAGAAGAUUUUUCGAGAAUCUUCACACACGUUUCACAAAUCUCUCUCGCAGACAUAUUCUCUCUAGGGUUUCAUCUCGGUAGCUUGUUUGUACGCGUUUUAGAUCUAGGGUUCUUGUGUGUAUCGAAACGGUUAGAUUUUAGCGUAGUUUGAUACGGGUCAUCAUGUUGAUGAUCUGUUGUGUGAGCUAGAGGGGUUUUUUGAGAGUUUUGUUGUUUAUUCGAGAGUUGAUUGUGUGAAAAUCUUGUUUGAAUCUAUUUGAAUU